GUUGUGGCACGUGGGACGCUGCCUCAGCGUGGUCUGAUGAGCAGUGCCAUGUCCGCGCCCAGGAUUCGAACCAACGAAACACUGGGCCGCCUGCAGCGGAGCGCGCGAACUUAAUCACUCGGCCACAGGGCCAGCCCCUUCUACAGAUAUAUAACCCAACAGCUGAUCGCUUGCUGGACCACGAAGGAAAUCUCCUCCACAAUAGCAAAGACUCAGCAACAUACAGAAUGUGUUCUCUGACCAGAGGCUAAUAAAAUAUGAACUUGAAAAGAAAAAGAUACUUGAAAUUAUAUUUUGGGAAAUUAGAGAGACGGAAAGACACUUCUAAAGACUGUUUGGACAACGCAACAGUCAAAAUAGAAUAAGUUAUGCUGCCGUAAUGCACAGACCUGAAAUCCCUCAAUAUCUUAAAACAAUGGAGGUUUAUUUCCCACUCAGGGUACAUUUCCAGUGUAAUCAGCUGGGAGCUCGGUCCCACAUUUUCCUCACUCUGGGACCUGAUGGAGCUUCCACCACUGGGCAUUACCAGAUAGUACGUAGCUCUUAAAGUUUUCUGCCCCAAAAUGACAGACAUCAUUUCCACUCAUACGAUGUUGUCCAGAGCACGUCUAUUGCCAUGGCUGACUUCAAGAAGGAGGGGCCCUGACCAGAAAGAGGAGAACUGGACACGUCAGUGACCAGCACCAAAGAUGAUCACGAAGAGGAAAUAAUCAAGAAAGCGGGGAAACAUUUACACUUAAAGAAUAAUGAAAAUGUAACAUUAAAACUUGUAGGAUGUAGCUAAAGCGGUAGAGUAAAAUUUACAACCCUAAAUGAUUAUAUUAGAAAGAGGAGACGGACAAUUACAGACCUAACCGUUUAUUCAAGAAAGUAAAGUAUCCUAAAAAUAGCGGAGAAAAGAAAAUAAUUAAGAGAUACAUUGAUGAAACAGUCACAGAAACCAAAACACAAUAUAGAGAAAUGGAAAAAAAUAAAACUGCUGACUGGUCGGGCUCCUUAGAAGCAGACUCUGAGAUGAGGAGAAGUGUGUCCCAGACCUAUUAAUCUACCCUUGAUUAAAAAGUCUGUUCUCUC
rnacentral:lncRNA from 1 species